GUGCCUGCUCCAGCAGCACAUAUCCUAAUACUGGAACAAUUCAGAUUAGCACAGCCCCUGUGCAAGGAUGACACGCAAUUUCAUGAAGCAUUCAAAAAAAAA